AAAUUUGAAAUCUGGCGCAAGCCCGAGUUGUAAUUUGUAGAGGAUGCUUCUGGCCAGCGGCCGUUCUAAGUUCCUUGGAACAGGACGUCAUAGAGGGUGAGAAUCCCGUAUGUGACCGGCGCGCAGCCUUUACGUAGCUCCUUCGACGAGUCGAGUUGUUUGGGAAUGCAGCUCUAAAUGGGAGGUAAAUUUCUUCUAAAGCUAAAUACCGGCCAGAGACCGAUAGCGCACAAGUAGAGUGAUCGAAAGAUGAAAAGCACUUUGGAAAGAGAGUUAAAAAGCACGUGAAAUUGUUGAAAGGGAAGCGCUUGCAACCAGACUUUGCGGCGAUGUUCCGCCGGUCUUCUGACCGGUCUACUCAUCGUCGCGAGGCCAACAUCGUCUGGGACCGCUGGAUAAGACCUAAGGAAUGUGGCUUCCCUCGGGAAGUGUUAUAGCCUGUGGUGAUGCAGCGCGUCUCGGGCGAGGUCCGCGCUUCGGCAAGGAUGUUAGCGUAAUGGUUGUCAGCGGCCCGUCUUGAAACACGGACCAAGGAGUCUAACAUCUAUGCGAGUGUUCGGGUGUCAAACCCCUACGCGUAAUGAAAGUGAACGGAGGUGGGAAGCGCAAGCUGCACCAUCGACCGAUCCUGAUGUCUUCGGAUGGAUUUGAGUAAGAGCAUAGCUGUUGGGACCCGAAAGAUGGUGAACUAUGCCUGAAUAGGGUGAAGCCAGAGGAAACUCUGG
rnacentral:rRNA from 1 species